rnacentral:tRNA from 3 species
UGGGAGUUUAGCUCAGCUGGGAGAGCAUCUGCCUUACAAGCAGAGGGUCGGGGGUUCGAACCCCUCAACUCCCAU